GCAGGAUCAGGGGCUGUGUGAGAGGCAGAGCUGGCGGCUGCAGCAUGCGUGCGGCGUCUGAGGCUCAGGGCGCGAGAACCACGUAAGGUGCCCGCCGGAGCCUCCCGCCUCGCCCGCCUCGGCUUCCCCCCGGCACAAACUUCACGGCUCCCUCGUGCACGGUCCGGGCUUCUCCGGGGGAGCUUGGCGCCGACAGCCGCAUGCAUGACACUCCGAAAAGGAGAGAAGAUGACCAUAAGUAUCCAGGAGCACAUGGCUAUUGACGUCUGCCCCGGCCCCAUCAAACCCAUCAAGCAGAUUUCCGACUACUUCCCCCGCUUCCCCCGCGGGCUCCCCGCCACCGUCGGCCGCAGCGGCACCCUGCGCUCCGCCGUCAGCCAGCCCUCCGUCAGCCCCGCCGAGGCCCCCCGCGAAGAGGACGAGGACGUGGACCAGCUUUUUGGGGCGUAUGGCACGACACCCACUGAGCAGCCGGCCAAGCACCAAGCACCCGAGGAGGUGGUGGACCCCGAGGGCUACGAGUCCGACGACUGCACCACGCUGGGGACGCUGGAUUUCAGCUUGCUCUACGAUCAAGAAAACAACGCUCUCCACUGCACGAUCAAUAAAGCCAAGGGCCUGAAGCCGAUGGACCAUAAUGGUUUGGCUGAUCCAUACGUCAAAUUGCACUUGCUUCCCGGAGCCAGUAAGGCAAAUAAGCUGAGAACCAAAACGCUGCGCAACACGCUGAACCCCACCUGGAACGAGACGCUCACCUACUACGGCAUCACUGAUGAGGACAUGAUCCGCAAGACCCUACGGAUCUCAGUCUGUGACGAGGACAAGUUCCGCCACAACGAGUUCAUUGGGGAGACGCGGAUCCCGCUGAAGAAACUGAAGCCCAACCAGACCAAAAACUUCAACAUCUGCCUGGAGAAGCAGCUGCCGAUAGAUAAAACAGAGGACAAGUCGCUGGAGGAGCGUGGCCGGAUCCUCAUCUCCCUCAAGUACAGCUCGCAGAAGCAGGGGCUGCUGGUGGGCAUCAUCCGCUGCGCCCACCUGGCCGCCAUGGACGCCAACGGCUACUCCGACCCCUACGUCAAAACUUACUUGAAACCAGAUGAGGACAAGAAAUCAAAGCAUAAGACAGCGGUGAAGAAGAAGACGCUGAACCCCGAGUUCAAUGAGGAGUUUUGCUACGAGAUAAAGCACGGAGACCUGGCAAAAAAGACCUUGGAAGUCACAGUGUGGGACUACGAUAUCGGGAAAUCAAAUGAUUUCAUAGGUGGCGUGGUGUUAGGAAUCAACGCCAAAGGCGAGCGGCUGAAGCACUGGUUUGACUGCCUGAAGAACAAGGACAAGAAGAUCGAGCGCUGGCACACGCUAACGAACGAGCUGCCGGGGGCCGUCCUCAGCGACUGAGCCCCCCCGGAGCUGCUCCCCGGGGGCGGGGGGCACAGCUCUGUUGGCCACUGCCUUUGGACUCCUCUCGUUUACGGCUUUGGAUACGGGGGAUCGUGGUACCGGGGCAGCCGGGAGAGCAGGACACCCCGCACCACGGCCCGGCUGCAGGGAGGCCCUUCCCAGGGAAGAGAGCAGCGGCGGUUUGCUCUGCUCGGCAGGUCCCGUCCCCUAAAAGGCUUUUCCAAAAUGCCUCUUUGCACCCUGACACACUCACACACACACUCACGAGCAUGCACGUGCAUGCACACACACACACACGUGUGCGCACACGCACCCGGACACCACACGCCUGCAUGCACUGCGGUUCUGACUCCUCUCCUAACUCUUUGCUGUACUGAAUUACCUUCUCGCUGCCUUGCAAUUCAGUGGCAAAAAUGAAUGCAUCAGUCUCCGUUCGUGUAUCUAAUAUGAGCAAAAGGCGUUCACUAAAACCUGGGACUAUUUUCUCAAGGCCAUUGUGCCAUAUUUCUGGUGGUUUGUCAGUCUCUGUGGUUUGGGCCUAAACAGUCUUUUAUGCAUUUAAAGCUCCUCCGUUGGAAUGAUUGUGUGUCCCCCCGAUAACCCAGGAAGACUGUUUGCUUUUCUUCCAGAGAUGUCGUGCUCGUCCUCUCCGAUACCCCAUGUGACGUCAGCCGGUGAGCCCACGGUGCGGUGCAGACCACGCUUCCCCCUCCCCGUCCCGGGAUCGGGCGGCUUCACGUUUGCAGAAUUGAGGGAGGGGGGACAAAAUCAAAAAGCUCAGCGAAGCCACCGGCCGUUCCUCCUUCCCAGGACCAGCAGCGAAGCCUCACGCUGCCCUCUCCUCAUCAAACCAUGCCUUCCUGCCCGGAGCCACCCAGCCAGGCUAUUUUUCCAGCAAAGCUGGCUUUCAGGCUAAAUUUUUUUUAUCCCUUUUCCCUUAUUCCUCCUUUUUCCGAUUCCCUGCUGUGACCUAAAACCCAACCAAGGUGCUUUACGCUGCCGGCAGAAGACGCUCAGCUCCAACACAGCGUCAGGGAUAUGGAUGGAUUUUAUUUGAGUGCCGGCAGCGCGUCAAGUAGGAUGUUCCCGUUAAUCCUCUCUGUCUGACACUGCUCCAGCACCUUAAAACCUGGUUUGGGUCUGAGCUUCCAGGAGAGCCGCGGGGGCACCGGGGUCGGCUCUGCCUCCCUUUUUCCUUGCGAAGUUAUUUUCAAUCCAGCGUUUGUUUCAGUCUUUGCCAUGAAACUGGUUUAUGGAAGAGGUGGAGCAGGACACGAUGAGUGUGUGUGUGUGUGUGUGUGUGGGUCCCUUCACUUUGUAUCCCCGUCUUUUUUCUAAGCGGACGGUCGGUCUGUCCGUCCCAGCUGCAUGCAGAGUGGUGGUCGUCACGCCAGGCCUUCGUGAAAUGUUUGAUACCGAUGUUUUGCUACCAUGUGAAGGCUCUGCAGAACCUGUCCUUACCUGCAUCCUAAAAACAAAAAAAAAAAAAAAAAGACUUUUGUA